UACGUAGGGUGCGAGCGUUAAUCGGAAUUACUGGGCGUAAAGCGUGCGCAGGCGGCUCGUCGUGUCCGAUGUGAAAGCCCCGGGCUCAACCUGGGAAUGGCAUUGGAAACUGGCGGACUCGAGUGUGGCAGAGGGGGGUGGAAUUCCGCGUGUAGCAGUGAAAUGCGUAGAGAUGCGGAGGAACACCGAUGGCGAAGGCAGCCCCCUGGGCUAACACUGACGCUCAGGCACGAAAGCGUGGGGAGCAAACAGG
rnacentral:rRNA from 1 species